AUGUUCUCUGUAGCUGUGCUCCUGCUGCUGCUGGUUUUUGGAACCUGUGUAAAAUGUGAGCAGUUGAUACAGACAGCAUCUGUGACUGUGCAGCCAGGUCAGCGUCUGACCAUCACCUGUCAGGUCUCUUAUUCUCUACGCAGCUGGAGGACAGCUUGGAUCAGACAGCCUGCAGGGAAAGGACUGGAGUGGAUUGGAGAUGCACAUUAUGGACACAACACAUACUACAAAGAUUCACUAAAGAACAAGUUCACCAUCAACUUAGACACUUCAAGCAAGACAGUGACUCUAAAUGGACAGAAUAUGCAGCCUGAAGACACUGCUGUGUAUUACUGUGCGAGAAUGCCACAGUAAUACAAAGCAUCAGUGGAGCUGAACAAAAACCCCUCAGAGCUUCAACAUGUGUAACAUCCUCCACCAGUACAGGAGCCCCCAGACUACAGAACACUGUUAUCUGCUGCAUGUCGCUGUUUAGCACUGGAGA